rnacentral:rRNA from 1 species
UACGAAGGGGGCUAGCGUUGUUCGGAAUUACUGGGCGUAAAGCGCGCGCAGGCGGCUAUCCAAGUCAGUGGUGAAAGCCCGGAGCUCAACUCCGGAACUGCCAUUGAAACUGUUUAGCUUGAGGAUGAGAGAGGUGAGUGGAAUUCCCAGUGUAGAGGUGAAAUUCGUAGAUAUUGGGAAGAACACCGGUGGCGAAGGCGGCAUCCUGGACCGACACUGACGCUGAUGAGCGAAAGCCAGGGGAGCAAACGGG